rnacentral:lncRNA from 1 species
UAUUCAGUGAUUAAUUGCAAUCAUUAAUAUUUCCUAGAAAGUAGAAGGCCUGGUUUCUUUUGGAAAUGUUUGCCUCAUUUGAAUUUCUGAGAGUUAUUUUUAUUUCAAAAGAAUUAAAACCUUGGGUUAAAGGAAUAAUGAAACAGCAGACAGACAUGGGUAGAAGAGGCUGUCAGAAGAAAGUGAUAUCUACCUUUCUCGUGUCACUAAAAUAAAAUGAUGUCACCUACCACAGCCAUACUUAAUGUUCUGAAUAUAGAGAAGUAUGAAAUAGUUUAUCUGGCAUAACUUCCCAAAACAAAUUAAUGGUAAUUGGACUUUUAUGGAAUAUGACUGCCUGUAUGAUUUACAUUAAAAAAUUCUAACUUUUCAUUUUUAAAUAAUUUCACAUUCUUAAGAGUCACAAAAAUAGUACAAACAUUUCCAUUAGGACAUGAUCUAAACCAGGAAAUUAACACUGAUGCAAUACUGUUACUGAUCUACAGACCUUAUUCAAAUUUUGUCAGUUGUUCCA